rnacentral:lncRNA from 1 species
AAAUUAUUAAGGCAUAGUCUUUGAACUGAAUCUCACAGUCUAAUGGGAGACACAGAUAAGUAAGCAAACAGGGAUAAUAGCAAGCAAAAGCAAAGUGGAGGUGACCCAGGCAAAAACUUCAAAUUCAGAUAGAACAUAGAUCCCAGAUUCUAUGAAUCAGUUUUCCUAUAUGAAAAAAUGGGACUAAAAAUACCUUCUUAGCAUGGUUGGGAAUCUGCAACUUUGGAAUUUGAAAGGAAAAGAAAAAGGUUUCUGUAAGGAUUAAAUAAGGUAUAUACCAAGGUUUUCAUCACAGAGUAAGUGCUGAACAACAGUGAUGCAUUCAAACAAUGAUACAUCUGAAGGUGGCAGUGUGUCUGAGGUACUAACUACACCACGUAGCAUUUCUGGGCUGCUUGGUGGCUGACCGUUAUUUCCUGACACGUCUCACACAAUGCUGACUUGAGUCAGCUCUGGGCAGUGUUAAUGUUCCCAGUAGACUGAACUCCUAAGAAUUGAAUUUAGAUCAGAGAAUAGAAAUCAUUUUAUUAAAGGGCAUAGAUUUUUUUUAUAUAGUCUUUCUGUAGUGUAGAGAAAACUCUAGAGCCUCCUUUCAUCUCCUUGGAACGAAGAAAGAUUGCAAAUCUCUCUUGUUGGACUGACGAUACCUGUAAAGAACUGACUAACCUGUCUGCCUCUGAAUUUGCUUGGCUUUGGGUCUACUCUGUAGGUUCCCAUUCAUUCCUCAUGCAUAGCAGCAGAAGGGACACUGACAAGCACAUCAGAGAGGGAAUUGCUUGAAAUAGAUUCUGGGCGGGAAGACCCAGUAUUUUUUUUCUGCAAAUUGUCCAGGUAAGACUGACUUAUGGGCUAAGCCUGUUUCCCUCGGCUUCUAUGACUCGGAGUCAUUUCAUUUCUCUC